GACGAACGCUGGCGGCGUGCUUAACACAUGCAAGUCGAACGGAAAGGCCCUGCUUUUGUGGGGUGCUCGAGUGGCGAACGGGUGAGUAACACGUGAGUAACCUGCCCUUGACUUUGGGAUAACUUCAGGAAACUGGGGCUAAUACCGGAUAGGAGCUCCUGCUGCAUGGUGGGGGUUGGAAAGUUUCGGCGGUUGGGGAUGGACUCGCGGCUUAUCAGCUUGUUGGUGGGGUAGUGGCUUACCAAGGCUUUGACGGGUAGCCGGCCUGAGAGGGCGACCGGCCACAUGGGGACUGAGAGACGGCCCAGACGCCGACGGGAGGCAGCAGUGGGGAAUAGUGCACAAUGGGCGGAAGCCUGAUGCAGCAACGCCGCGUGCGGGAUGACGGCCUUCGGGUUGUAAACCGCUUUCGCCUGUGACGAAGCGUGAGUGACGGUAAUGGGUAAAGAAGCACCGGCUAACUACGUG
rnacentral:rRNA from 1 species